rnacentral:tRNA from 1 species
GGGGGCAUAGCUCAGAUGGCUAGAGCGCUUGCAUGGCAUGCAAGAGGUCGUGUGUUCGACUCCCACUGUCUCCA